rnacentral:rRNA from 1 species
UACAGAGGGUGCAAGCGUUGUUCGGAAUUAUUGGGCGUAAAGGGAGUGUAGGCGGUUGCCUAAGUCUUCUGUGAAAGCUGCGGGCUUAGCCUGCAAAGUGCAGAGGAAACUGGGCGACUUGAGUGUCGGAGAGGAUAGGGGAAUACCCAGUGUAGAGGUGAAAUUCGUAGAGAUUGGGUGGAACACCAGUGGCGAAGGCGCCUGUCUGGCUGACAACUGACGCUGAGACUCGAAAGCAUGGGGAGCAAACAGG